CUUGUUUAACACUGCUGUUCAGUGCUCUGACGUUACUUGCACCAGAGAAAGCAGUAAAUUGGAUCACACCUCCUGACCGAGACUUAAUGCCAUCAAAUGACCAUGACGCAAAAGAGCUUGAUGAUUUGGUUUUUGUUGGUGGGCCUUCUGUGGAUUCUCCCUGUGUGUGUGUCUCAGAAUAAUCCCUGCACAAAAAGAUGUGGAAGACACAACACAAAAUGUCUGGCAUGUUUCUGCAACAACAAGGAAAAUGUGGUCGUUGCAGAUAACUUCACUGCCGUCAUCAACAAACAAAAGCUUUGGAAUAAAAGUGAUAUUUGCACAUUAUUUCUGCAGAAAAAUGCC